rnacentral:rRNA from 1 species
AACGAACGCUGGCGGCAGGCCUAACACAUGCAAGUCGAGCGCUUCCUUCGGGAAGAGCGGCGGACGGGUUAGUAACGCGUGGGAACGUGCCCUUCUCUAAGGAUAGCCACUGGAAACGUGAGUAAUACCUUAUACGCCCUUCGGGGGAAAGAUUUAUCGGAGAAGGAUCGGCCCGCGUUAGAUUAGAUAGUUGGUGGGUAACGCCUACCAAGUCUACGAUCUAUAGCUGGUUUUAGAGGAUGAUCAGCAACACUGGACUGAGACACGGCCCAGACUCCUACGGGAGGCAGC